rnacentral:rRNA from 1 species
GAUGAACGCUGGCGGCGUGCUUAACACAUGCAAGUCGAACGGAGCACCCCUGAUCGAGUUUUCGGACAAGUGAAGGGAAUGCUUAGUGGCGGACGGGUGAGUAACGCGUGAGGAACCUGCCUUGGAGAGGGGAAUAACACAGUGAAAAUUGUGCUAAUACCGCAUGAAGCAGUUGGGUCGCAUGGCUCUGACUGCCAAAGAUUUAUCGCUCUGAGAUGGCCUCGCGUCUGAUUAGCUAGUUGGUGGGGCAACGGCCCACCAAGGCGACGAUCAGUAGCCGGACUGAGAGGUUGACCGGCCACAUUGGGACUGAGACACGGCCCAG